rnacentral:rRNA from 1 species
GCGGACGAAAACAACAACACCUAAAAUGUGGAAUAUAGCAUAUAGUCGACAAGAGAAAUCUACGAAAAACAAACAAAACUUUCAACAACGGAUCUCUUGGUUCUCGCAUCGAUGAAGAGCGCAGCGAAAUGCGAUACCUAGUGUGAAUUGCAGCCAUCGUGAAUCAUCGAGUUCUUGAACGCACAUUGCGCCCCUCGGCAUUCCGGGGGGCAUGCCUGUUUGAGCGUCGUUUCCAUCUUGCGCGUGCGCAGAGUUGGGGGAGCGGAGCGGACGACGUGUAAAGAGCGUCGGAGCUGCGACUCGCCUGAAAGGGAGCGAAGCUGGCCGAGCGAACUAGACUUUUUUUCAGGGACGCUUGGCGGCCGAGAGCGAGUGUUGCGAGACAACAAAAAGCUCGACCUCAAAUCAGGUAGGAAUACCCGCUGAACUUAAGCAUAUCAAUA